GACGAACGCUGGCGGCGUGCCUAACACAUGCAAGUAGGACGCAGCUGCGAACGGGUGAGUAACGCGUAGGUAACUGCCCAUUAGAGGGGGAUAAUUAAUGGAAACGAUAGUUAAUACCGCAUACUAGUAGAUGGACCUGCGUUGUAUUAGCUAGUAGGUAAGGUAAUGGCCUACCUAGCCGACGAUACAUAGCCGGCCUGGGAGGGUGAUCGGGCACACUGGGACUGAGACACGAGCCAGACGCCAAAGGGAGCAAACAGUGAGGAAUCUUCGGCAAUGGAGGAAACCCUGACCGAGCAACGACGCGUGAGUGAAGAAGGUUUUCGGAACGUAGAGAUCUGUUAUUAAGGAUGCGGUACUUAACCAGAAAGAGACGGCUAACUACGUGCCAGCAGCCGCGGUAAUAC
rnacentral:rRNA from 1 species